rnacentral:rRNA from 1 species
UACGUAGGCAGCGAGCGUUGUUCGGAGUUACUGCGCGUAAAGAGUGCGUAGGCGGUUUUCUAAGUUUGGUGUGAAAUCUCCCGGCUCAACUGGGAGGGUGCGCCGAAGACUGGAAGGCUUGAGUAUGGGAGAGGUAAGCGGAAUUCCUGGUGUAGCGGUGAAAUGCGUAGAUAUCAGGAGGAACACCUGCGGUGUAGACGGCUUACUGGACCAUAACUGACGCUGAGGCACGAAAGCGUGGGUAGCAAACAGG